AGAUGAAGGUAGCAUGGUAAUGUGCACACAAAUUGAAUUUCAAUUGGGUCUACAUGUCUGCCAUUAAUGAUUUCUGAUUUAAGGGCCUGGUUACGACCUACAUAU